AUACAGUGUCCUCCAGGAUUUAAUCGCUCUCACAGGAGGGAGGAGAGCUGUCCUUCAGUGAUGGCGGUAUAAAAGCACAAGUGGAAAGAAAAUAUAAAGUUUCAAGUUGAAAACUCAGCAGACACUAUAUCCUAAACCUCCUUUGAAUACCUUUAUGCAGCCAAACUCACCCUUCCAUUAACAGAUCCGAGGAUAAGAGAAUCACUAGCCUGCCUAAGAUGACAAAGAUUUGAAACUGCAUGGGUGGAGGUUGCUACAAUUUGUUUGGCCAGAUGUGUGGGAGCGGGUUCCGAGCCACUCUCAGUGCUUCCCAUGAGUGCCAGGAUGUGGUGGACCAAUGCCUGCAUACAGCAAUUGGACCCCUCAUUUCUCUAUUCCCU